rnacentral:rRNA from 1 species
GAUGAACGCUGGCGGCGUGCCUAAUACAUGCAAGUCGAGCGAACAGACGAGGAGCUUGCUCCUCUGACGUUAGCGGCGGACGGGUGAGUAACACGUGGAUAACCUACCUAUAAGACUGGGAUAACUUCGGGAAACCGGAGCUAAUACCGGAUAAUAUAUUGAACCGCAUGGUUCAAUAGUGAAAGACGGUUUUGCUGUCACUUAUAGAUGGAUCCGCGCCGCAUUAGCUAGUUGGUAAGGUAACGGCUUACCAAGGCAACGAUGCGUAGCCGACCUGAGAGGGUGAUCGGCCACACUGGAACUGAGACGCGGUCCAGACUCCUACGAGAGGCAGCAGUAGGGAAUCUUCCGCAAGGGGCGAAAGCCUGACGGAGCAACGCCGCGUGAGUGAUGAAGGUCUUCGGAUCGUAAAACUCUGUUAUUGGGGAAGAACAAAUGUGUAAGUAACUAUGCACGUCUUGACGGUACCUAAUCAGAAAGCCACGGCUAACUACG